rnacentral:rRNA from 1 species
UAGGGAAUCUCCACAAUGGACGAAAGUCUGAUGGAGCAACGCCGCGUGAGUGAUGAAGGGUUUCGGCUCGUAAACUCUGUUGUUGGAGAAGAACGGGUGUCAGAGUAACUGUUGACAUCGUGACGGUAUCCAACCAGAAAGCCACGGCUAACUACGUGCCAGCAGCCGCGGUAAUACGUAGGUGGCAAGCGUUGUCCGGAUUUAUUGGGCGUAAAGCGAGCGCAGGCGGUUUUUUAGGUCUGAUGUGAAAGCCUUCGGCUUAACCGGAGAAGUGCAUCGGAAACCGGGAGACUUGAGUGCAGAAGAGGACAGUGGAACUCCAUGUGUAGCGGUGAAAUGCGUAGAUAUAUGGAAGAACACCAGUGGCGAAGGCGGCUGUCUGGUCUGCAACUGACGCUGAGGCUCGAAAGCAUGGGUAGCGAACAGGAUUAGAUACCCUGGUAGUCCACGCCGUAAACGAUGAGUGCUA